GGAACCCUCUUACCUGUCAAUGACUUUCCCUCUUGGAAUUUGAGGGAACAACUGGAAUGCCCCCAGCUUUUCCCACAGAUGCAACUCUGCCAGAGUCACUAUCUGAGGGCUUAUCAAAUGUUUCAUCUGUCAUCGUGGUCAACAAAGGAGACAAGAAGCUGAAGCUCAGAAAGGUUUGCGUAGCAGUAAGAGGCCAAGCCACAGUUGGAACCUGCAUUUCCUGAAGUCAGUUUCCAUGUUCUUUCCACUUUAUCAUAGCUCCUUCCUCCGAAUAGCGCUGACCCAGAGUAAAUCCUCAAGGUUUGCUUCAGCUAAACCGGCAUCAUCAAAAGAUUUUAAAAGUCCUAAGGCUAUAAAACCUCUCCAAAGCCCACAGACCUGUUUAGAUGAGGGGAGGAGACUGAGCUGACCGACUAGUAUUGUCCAUUAGCACAAUUCCUAUUCCCUUACCUUAUUACAGUGGCCUGUGUGGAACAGCUGCCAAAUCCUACCAAACCCAGUGCAGUUCAUUUUUCCUCUGCACAGGCAAGCUUCCUCACCUGUAAUUUCAUCCCUUUAAUGGCUUGCAGCUGGCAAAGAAUGAGACGUCAUCUCUAAGCAGAGAGGACAAAGUAAGGCAGCCGGAUUACCCAGGGGAGGAGGGGAACUUGGUGGAGCCCUCCAGAAAGCAACCAUUUCCUUCCCCUGGAAUUGUCACCCCUAGACCCACUAUUUUAUUUGGUCACAUGAAGCAGAACACAUAAUGUGAUCCCCUCUAGAUGAAUGCAUGGGCUCCAUUCCCAGCCCUUUCAGCACCAACAUUCACUACUCUUAUCACUUAUCUGUCCCAACACCUUGCGUGUGCUUGGAGCUUGUGGCUUCUCUGGAACGGCUAAUUUCACUUUUGUCAAUUCAACUUCAACAACUCUCAUUUUAAAGGAAAAGAAAAAUAACGUUUGAAUGUGCCUGACCUCUUUCAAGUCUUUGUGAAGUCCUGGAGGAAGAGGAACCACCCACAGAGAAAGAGGAACACUCAUUCAUUCAACAGCAAAUCAUUUCUGUGUUAAGAUUCGGAAGUAAUCAAGAGCAUGGGCUUUGGCAUUACACCGAUGGUGUGACGGUGUUCUAAUCUUGGCUCCACCACUUAAU
rnacentral:lncRNA from 1 species